CUAUUUCAUAUUUUAUCUAUGGUAUAAUAUCAUUCCGGUGUCGAUGUCAAAAUUGAGUUCCUACAUUUAUAUAUUCGAAAGUAUUUUUAUAAAUAUUUUUAUUUCAAUUCAAGUUCUAUAUUUAUGUUAAAAAAAAAUAAUAUUUUAAAUUAUGUUGAUUUUUAGUAACGAAAUUUAGUAAUCAAAAAAGGCAAUCUUAAGAAAUAUAAUGUAAUGGUUUGAAUAAAAUAGCUAAGUGAAACGAAGGUUAGAAUGAGAAGUAUUGUUAACAUUUUGAAAAUCUUUGUCGCUUUUUUUUAUGAUUAUGCACGAGGAUUAUCAUACACUAUUAUUACGAUUUUGGUUUUGGGUUAUUGUUUACACCCGGCUCGAUUUGCUUCACAUUAUACUUUCAUAAAAACAGAAGAUAUUUACGAUGAAAUGGAAAAAUCUUAUCCAGCAAGGGAUAAUUCAUGCACAAUCACGAUCAAUCAUCAAAAAUCUCAACUGCUUUAUCCCGAAGAACAUCCUCGAGAAGAUCCUAUAGCAAUGGCGCGACGAUUAGGUAUAUUACCUGGAGGACAAUGGAAACCAUUAAAUUGUCAUCCUCUUUUCAAUGUGGCUAUUAUUUUACCAUAUAGAAAUCGUCAAACACAACUUACUAUUUUUAUGAAUUAUAUUCAUCCUUUUCUACAAGCCCAAAAUCUUGAUUAUAGAAUAUUUGUGAUAGAACAAAGUCCAAUGCGUGAAUUUAAUCGUGCUAAACUUUUCAAUGUUGGAUAUGCAGAAGCAACUAAAGUAAAUGACUUUCACUGUUUCAUCUUUCAAGAUGUAGAUCUCAUACCUCAGAAUCCUGACAACAUUUAUGCUUGCACUAAGAUGCCCAGACAUAUGAGUUCAAGUGUAAAUACAUUUCGUUACAAUUUACCAUAUAGUGGUUUAUUUGGAGGUGCAAUAGCAUUAACUCGAAAACAAUUUGAAAGAGUUAAUGGAUUUUCAAAUGUUUUCUAUGGAUGGGGUGGAGAAGAUGAUGAUUUUUAUAGCCGCUUACAAUCAAAAGGUUUUCAAGUUACACGUUUUGGACCUGAUAUUGCUCAGUAUUAUAUGUUAGUACACAAGAAAGAAUCUCCAAGUAGUGCUAGGUUUGAAAAUCUUGAAAAUAGUGCUAAAAGAUAUGAUACUGAUGGAAUUAGUAAUUUAGAAUACAGAGUUCUGAAUCAUCAACUAAGGCCAUUGUAUUCUUGGAUUUUAGCAGAUGUUUAGUUUUGGUGCACAGCCAUGGCCAUGGGGAAGGCCAAAGGGCUGCGUUACCGUGCCUUGCCGCCANNGGGCGUCGGUGGCACGCGUACAACGCAUCGGUUGGGUAUCUGGACUGAACUUCUUUCUACCUGUUUCAUCUCCAUCCACCGUGCGGCCUCCUGAGUCGCGUUAAACUCGACGAAUGCAAAACCUCGCGAAGCACCUAUACAGAGCAAAUACACACAUAUCCAAAGUUAAUCCACGUUUUGCCUGGGAGUCUCUACUCUGAGAGGGCAGGCAAUCACAGCACCAACCAUUGACAGACUGAGUUUCGAACGAAGUAUUUUCUUCGCUUCGUCGCUUGCUUUCAUUUCCAUUUGCCUAAAGCUCAGCAGAAUGAAUUCUACACGGGUGACAGACGAUUUCUUAUCUUUACGCGAAUCUUUAGUUUACUUUAAUGAUAAACCUACUAAAAUCUCUUAGUCUCC
rnacentral:misc_RNA from 1 species